CUUGAUGGGCUGGAAGCACGCGACGGUGUGCAACGCGGCGGGUGAGUUCUCAGGUCGUGCUCCCUUCCCGGUCGAAGAGAGCGAAGUGUGCGCGUCUUUGUCCUUCGCUGGAGGCGUCGACGAUGGAAGCUGCAGGCUCCGCGUCACACACAAAAGAAGCAGAAUCGCUGGGCUAUGCUCAGGAGAUGACUGUAACUAGUAAUACAAAAAAGCUCAAAAAAUGAGCGAGAGGUUGUCAACUUGUGAAAAGAACAAAAACAAUCCAGAGCCAACAGCGCAAUGGAGAUCCAAGGACAAGAACAGCAAAACCAAAGCUGCUUGAUAUAUGUGCUGUCACUUCCUGGAACACUCCGGCAUUUACUUUGUCCGAGGAAGAAGGAACCGACCACCAAAAAGGGCAGGUUAUGCUUUAGCAUUCUUUAUCAUUUCAUAGGAUUUUGUUUUUGGAUUUCUUAAUUCUGAAAUCUAAAUUGUAAAAUAUCACUUCAUCUCACUUCGCUCUGUUUUCUUUUUUUGCAUCUUAUCGAAAAGUAGAUUCACCACACUUUUCCAUUUAUGAACUGUAAAAGACAAAAAAAAAGGAAAAGAUAGCUUUGUUGAGCAGAGGAAAAAGAGAAAAGGAGUACAGCUGAGCAAAACCUCACAAAUCUAUCAAGUCACCAGAAAAAAAAAAAAAAAAGAUAUUCAAAAUUGAAAAGGACAACUCUUUAUGCAUUCCACUUCUAAUUGACGUCAGAACAUCUCCUAUCGGAACAGUGAUUUCGUAAUUAUAUUUUUUGUUUAUCAUCCUAUUGUUGAUGUUUAAGUAUUGGAGGAUGUGGUACGUCUUGCACGUUCUUUGGUGGUAAGGUUUUUCAUAUUUUAGCUUUGGAAAAGAACUUAGUAAUGUUUUGAUGGUUUUUGUUCUUUUCCUGGUUUGAGAUGCAAAGCCAAAACUUCAGAGAUGAUACUCGGCAUAUUUGAAAUCUUUGGUCAUGUUUGCAGCCCACUUGGGGAUGAAAGCAUUAUAUGAAUAAUUUAUUUCACCUGAUAUCUGUGGAAAGCAUUGAAAAUACAGAAGUACAAUUUUGAUGAUGCCGUAUGAGUGGCGGAAGAGACGGUGAGUAAAUCCAUUCAGCCAGGGUAUUUGUGUGCUUUGAGAAACCAAAUCAGCAUUCUUAACCUCUGCCUCCUGGAAAGGUUCAUUAAUGGUGGAGAGAUCAUUCCUUGGUGAAUAGAAAUUGUUUGAUGCUUUACUUGUUCUCCACCUCAGCUACUAUAAAAGUUAAAAGUGCUUGCAGCUUGAUUCCAUACAUCUGUUAAGUUCUUGUGAAACAUGCAGGUUCACCUACAAGAUUACAAUAAUGAUGGACACAAUCACAACUACAAUCCUGGAGUGCUUCAGUGAACCUAAAAGAGCUGAGAGAACUAAUCUGUAUAAAGGAAUCUGAAGUCUCUUCCAUAAUAUAUAAUUUUCAAGAUGUUUCUCUCCAAGAAUUUUUCACUUUUUAUUUUUGUACCUCAAUUGUCAAAAAGAGAAACAAAAAAAUCCACGUAAGGCUUUUAUGUUAGGAUAAUGAUUGCGCUUCCAAUUUCAUGUUGGAACAGAACCAAAGAUAAGCAAGCAGGACUUACUAACCCACAACCGAGGAAGCAACUCUAUAACACUGUCCAAGGGUGACAAGAUUUGGGCAUGCAAAUGCAGAAGAAUCUGGAUAUCAGAGAAAGCAUGAGAAGGUCCUUUGAGACAUGAUAUAAAGCUUUGCGAUCACUCAGGAAUUUUGCUAUAAGCAGCAAGGUGUAUGCC